GAGGCUGUAGCUCAGGUGGUAGAGCACAUGCUUAGCAUGCAUGAGGUCCUGGAUUCAAUCCCCAGCACCCCCU
rnacentral:tRNA from 1 species